rnacentral:SRP_RNA from 1 species
GCCGAGCUGGGUAACGUCAGCUUAUGACCUGAGUGGGGGCAAGAGGAUGAUUGGACAAGGCCAUGGCUUGCUAAACUGGUCUUGAGGUUGCAACUUGCUGGCCUGCCCACUCCAAGCUGAGAGUUGAGCCAUGGGAUCUUUGUGAAGGCAUAGGUUUCCUGGUUCUUAGACAGGAGGGCACAGCGUGAGGCUGGUUUCACCUCCAGUCCUACUCGAGCUUGGUGAGCCUUGCUCCUUGAACAAUCAUUUUUUUUUUAUUAACUUGUGCGUCAUAAACCUAGGCGUGCUC